CACUCAGCGAACCAACAUUCUCCAAAUGAAUGUGGCAAUGGCAUCACCAAAUCACAUGAAGGCCAGUGAUUGAUUCAGAGUACAAGACGUAACUUUUCCAAGAGCCUUCUGAGACAUUAAGUGGGCACUUUCCAUACAUCUGUGCAUGGCCAGAUUUUCAUCUUUCAAUGAAAACAGUAAAACUGCACAGACCGAAUGCAGAACGUGCAAUGAAGAUCCAGCUAGAAUUUGCAGAAGUGACUGCUAUGCCAGUUUGGGCCUAACCCUAAGGAGUGUGACAUCUUUCACCCUCUUGCAAACCAGUCACCAUACAAAGAAGUCCAAGGUAUCCAUGUGAACAGGAAGUGCCUAAGGGUACUACUGCUCACUCUUGCCUGAAACAGAACACAGACCUUGAAGCUUAAGAAUGUUCCAGCAACACCACAACUUCUUGAAUGCUGGGCUUUUAGCUUGUUGUUUUCAUUCUUAAAUAAGUGACUUCUGGAAAUCAUUUGGUCUUAUUUUCAAAGAAGAUGCAGGCUCUCAGGACAUCAUUAUGCCCAUCUAAACGUGGAAAUUUACCUACAUGAAAUAUUUCAUUUUUUACGACUGGCUCCAAGAUAAAGGUAAACAUUAUUAAAGGUCACCAAAUAAUUUUUCCAUUAAAUGUAAUGCAUUAUGAUCUAUAUAUUAAAACCCUGGCCAU